UUGGAGAGAAAAUAAAUCAAAGCCUAUGUGUCGAAUUCAAACUAUACUAAAAGAGACAUAAAAAGCCCUCUGAGCUAUGCCACGUCAGAUAAAAAAAUCAACCAAUUACAGAGCAGUUUAGUGCCACGUCACACCAGCUUUGUCGAAACCUAAUAUGUCGUCGCAUCGUCUUCCCGUUCUUCCUCCUAACUAGAGAAACAAAUGCGUUUCUAACUUCUCCGAUUCUCAAUAUUUCUUCGGUCUUUCUCUCCUCUGGCUCAUAAACAUCCUCCUUUACUGCAACAAGAGCCAGUUUUGCUUAACCCCCCCCCCCCCCCCCCCCUCUCAAAAUUCACCAAAACGAAGCAAGCACAUCAAGCAAUGGAAACCAAAGCGGAAUCCACCAGAAAGGCUCCAAUGGUUUAGUUUUUCAACGAUGUCUCCACUGGCUUGGCAGUUCAACUUUCACAUGCUUUUACUUUCUCUUGCUUCUCUCUUUUACAGAAGUUUUACAGCAGUUGGAGAGAUUCGAGGCGGCGUUUGUAAGGAAAAAUUACAAUAGCUGUAGUGAUCUAUUGUCAGCUUAAGGCAUUUACUCUUUGAACCCUACUUUGAUUCCAUAUUUUGUUUUGAUGAGGGAUAUUUUUUUUGCUGUUUAGUGUCGUGAGGGUUUAAAUUUUACAACCAAGAUAAUUUAGCUUAUCGAUCUGUUGUGGAUCUUUACUUUUGGAUUGUUAUUGUGGGUAGAACCUGUCAGAAGUGGUUUAGAUUGAAAUUUUCUGAUGUGUGCUUCUCACUUUGCUCUUUCAAUUAUUUUUUACCAAAUUCAGAAGUCUUCCUCCAUUGUUUGAGAAAACACUAUGAAGCUGACUCUUCCAAACCAUUUGUUUGGAUGUUUUUCACCCAGGUCGGGAGCAAGAGGUUUCAACCCUCUAGGUCUUUUGCUGGUUCGAGGUAUAGGUGUGUUAUGUGUAAAAAAAUGUAAUAUUCCUUUCAGCUGAAUGAUUGCCUAGACAAUGUUGUCUUAAAUUGUUUAUGUAGGAUUUCAUACUAUCUUUAUUGUGAAGUGAUACUUGAGAAGCUUGGUUUAAUGUUAAUCCCUCCUUGCUUCCCACUACUACGAUUUUAAAUGUUC